AGAGUUUGAUCAUGGCUCAGGACGAACGCUGGCGGCGUGGAUUAGGCAUGCAAGUCGAACGGUAUGGUGCUUUCGGGCAUCAGAGAGUGGCGAACGGGUGAGUAACACGUAGGUGAUCUACCCUCAAGACGGGGACAACCCAGGGAAACUUGGGCUAAUACCGGAUGAUAGCAGCAGUGAUGUUGUUUAAAAGAUGGCUUUCGGGCUGUCGUUUGGGGAUGAGCCUGCGUCCUAUUAGCUAGUUGGUGUGGUAAAGGCACACCAAGGCGAUGAUAGGUAGGCGGCCUUAACGGGUGGUCGCCCACACUGGGAUUGAGAUACGGCCCAGACUCCUACGGGAGGCAGCAGUCGAGAAUAGUCUACAAUGGUCGGAAGACUGAUAGUGCGACGCCGCGUGAACGAGGAAGCCCUUCGGGGUGUAAAGUUCUUUUAUAUGUGAGCAGUGGGUUCUACGUUAAUAGCGUGGGAUCAGGGAUAUUAGCAUAUGAAUAAGCAACGGCUAACUCCGUGCCAGCAGCCGCGGUAACACGGGGGUUGCGAGCGUUGUCCGGAAUUACUAGGCGUAAAGGGCAGGUAGGCGGAUCUAUGAGUUUUUUGUCAAAUUCAACGGCUCACCCGUUGCGAGGCAGGAGAUACUGUAGAUCUGGAAUGCGGUUGGGGAAGACAGAAUUCCUGGUGUAGCGGUGGAAUGCGCAGAGAUCAGGAGGAAUACCUAAGGCGAAGGCAGUCUUCUAAGCCGUAAUUGACGCUAAACUGCGAAGGUGUGGGUAUCAAACAGGACUAGAUACCCUGGUAGUCCACACAGUAAACGAUAAUCACUGGGUGUCGGGUUCGUAGAGGAUUCGGUGCCGUAGCUAACGCGAUAAGUGAUUCGCCUGGGGAGUACGAUCGCAAGGUUGAAACUCAAAGGAAUUGACGG
rnacentral:rRNA from 1 species